rnacentral:rRNA from 1 species
UGGGGAAUCUUAGACAAUGGGCGCAAGCCUGAUCUAGCCAUGCCGCGUGAGUGAUGAAGGCCUUAGGGUCGUAAAGCUCUUUCGCUGGGGAAGAUAAUGACUGUACCCAGUAAAGAAACCCCGGCUAACUCCGUGCCAGCAGCCGCGGUAAUACGGCGGGGGUUAGCGUUGUUCGGAAUUACUGGGGAUAAAGAGCGCGUAGGCGGUUUGGAAAGUUGGGGGUGAAGUCCCGGGGCUCAACCCCGGAAUUGCCUUCAAAACUCCCAGUCAUGAGGUCAAGAGAGGUGAGUGGAAUUCCGAGUGGAGAGGUGAAAUUCGUAGAUAUUCGGAGGAACACCAGUGGCGAAGGCGGCUCACUGGCUCGAUACUGACGCUGAGGUGCGAAAGCGUGGGGAGCAAACAGGAUU